rnacentral:rRNA from 1 species
AGAGUUUGAUCAUGGCUCAGAUUGAACGCUGGCGGCAGGCCUAACACAUGCAAGUCGAACGGUAACAGGAAGCAGCUUGCUGCUUCGCUGACGAGUGGCGGACGGGUGAGUAAUGUCUGGGAAGCUGCCUGAUGGAGGGGGAUAACUACUGGAAACGGUAGCUAAUACCGCAUAAUGUCGCAAGACCAAAGAGGGGGACCUUCGGGCCUCUUGCCAUCGGAUGUGCCCAGAUGGGAUUAGCUUGUUGGUGGGGUAACGGCUCACCAAGGCGACGAUCCCUAGCUGGUCUGAGAGGAUGACCAGCCACACUGGAACUGAGACACGGUCCAGACUCCUACGGGAGGCAGCAGUGGGGAAUAUUGCACAAUGGGCGCAAGCCUGAUGCAGCCAUGCCGCGUGUAUGAAGAAGGCCUUCGGGUUGUAAAGUACUUUCAGCGGGGAGGAAGGGAGUAAAGUUAAUACCUUUGCUCAUUGACGUUACCCGCAGAAGAAGCACCGGCUAACUCCGUGCCAGCAGCCGCGGUAAUACGGAGGGUGCAAGCGUUAAUCGGAAUUACUGGGCGUAAAGCGCACGCAGGCGGUUUGUUAAGUCAGAUGUGAAAUCCCCGGGCUCAACCUGGGAACUGCAUCUGAUACUGGCAAGCUUGAGUCUCGUAGAGGGGGGUAGAAUUCCAGGUGUAGCGGUGAAAUGCGUAGAGAUCUGGAGGAAUACCGGUGGCGAAGGCGGCCCCCUGGACGAAGACUGACGCUCAGGUGCGAAAGCGUGGGGAGCAAACAGGAUUAGAUACCCUGGUAGUCCACGCCGUAAACGAUGUCGACUUGGAGGUUGUGCCCUUGAGGCGUGGCUUCCGGAGCUAACGCGUUAAGUCGACCGCCUGGGGAGUACGGCCGCAAGGUUAAAACUCAAAUGAAUUGACGGGGGCCCGCACAAGCGGUGGAGCAUGUGGUUUAAUUCGAUGCAACGCGAAGAACCUUACCUGGUCUUGACAUCCACGGAAGUUUUCAGAGAUGAGAAUGUGCCUUCGGGAACCGUGAGACAGGUGCUGCAUGGCUGUCGUCAGCUCGUGUUGUGAAAUGUUGGGUUAAGUCCCGCAACGAGCGCAACCCUUAUCCUUUGUUGCCAGCGGUCCGGCCGGGAACUCAAAGGAGACUGCCAGUGAUAAACUGGAGGAAGGUGGGGAUGACGUCAAGUCAUCAUGGCCCUUACGACCAGGGCUACACACGUGCUACAAUGGCGCAUACAAAGAGAAGCGACCUCGCGAGAGCAAGCGGACCUCAUAAAGUGCGUCGUAGUCCGGAUUGGAGUCUGCAACUCGACUCCAUGAAGUCGGAAUCGCUAGUAAUCGUGGAUCAGAAUGCUACGGUGAGUACGUUCCCGGGCCUUGUACACACCGCCCGUCACACCAUGGGAGUGGGUUGCAAAAGAAGUAGGUAGCUUAACCUUCGGGAGGGCGCUUACCACUUUGUGAUUCAUGACUGGGGUGAAGUCGGAACAAGGUAACCGUAGGGGAACCUGCGGUUG